rnacentral:rRNA from 1 species
UACAGAGGGUGCGAGCGUUGUUCGGAAUUAUUGGGCGUAAAGGGCGCGUAGGCGGUGCGGUAAGUCACCUGUGAAAUCUCCUGGCUCAACUGGGAGCUUGCAGGCGAAACUGCCGUGCUGGAGUGUGGGAGAGGUGCGUGGAAUUCCCGGUGUAGCGGUGAAAUGCGUAGAUAUCAGGAGGAACACCGGUUGGUGUAGACGGCUUUCUGGACCGUAACUGACGCUGAGACACGAAAGCGUGGGUAGCAAACAGG